GGCCCCGUAGUUCAAUGGAUAGAACACCCGCCUUCUAAGCAGGUAAUCUUGGUUCGAUUCCAAGCGGGGUCA
rnacentral:tRNA from 3 species